AGAGGUGGCAAGCGUUGUUCGGAAUUACUGGGCGUAAAGGGCGCGUAGGCGGCCUUGUCAGUCAGACGUGAAAUCCCCAGGCUUAACUUGGGAACUGCGUCUGAUACUACAAGGCUGGAGUUCGGGAGAGGGAUGUGGAAUUCCAGGUGUAGCGGUGAAAUGCGUAGAUAUCUGGAGGAACACCGGUGGCGAAGGCGGCAUCCUGGACCGAAACUGACGCUGAUGCGCGAAAGCCAGGGGAGCAAACGGGAUUAGAUACCCCGGUAGUCCUGGCCCUAAACGAUGAGUGCUUGGUGUGGCGGGUAUCGAUCCCUGCCGUGCCGAAGCUAACGCAUUAAGCACUCCGCCUGGGGAGUACGGUCGCAAGGCUGAA
rnacentral:rRNA from 1 species